UGGUCCUGGCUGCUGGGGACAGUUUGCACCUUCACUUAAGAUGAACCUGCUGCUGAUUUUCCUGUUCAUGCUGGAGGCCACUUCAGGUGUCCUCUCCCAAGUGCAGCUGCGGGAAACGGGCCCGGGAGCGGUGAAACCCGGGGAGUCCCUGACACUCACUUGUACCAUCUCCGGAGACUCAGUUUCUAGCACCAGCGUCACCUGGGACUGGAUCCGGCAGCCUGUGGGGAAAGGGCUGGAAUGGGUAGGGCGCAUUUACUACAGACCGAGCCAGUGGUCCACUAACUAUGCCAGCUCUCUGCAGAGUCGAACAACCAUCGCACAAGACACUUCCAAGAACCAGUUCUCCCUGCAGCUCCGCUCGCUGACAGCUGCAGACACCGCCGUGUAUUACUGCACCAGGAGAGACACAGUGACAGAGCGAAGCAGGGACCG